AACGAAGCUAUCUGAAAUCGUAUGAACUAAGUUCUACUUCUCUAUUCAAUUCUAUCCUCAGGCUAUGCUGCAGCUUGAUUUUAGGCUAGUUAAUUUCACAUGGAAGCUGCUUGCUUGUAAGUAGCUUGAUUGUCAUUUUAUUGCAAGUUGAUUUAUCCAGCUUCAUCUGUGAUAGAUGAUCGUACGAUAGUGUCAAAAUUAAUGAUUUAGGCUAACAGUGAUAAAUUGAAGUAAUAUAUCUCCCAUGAUGUUAUUAGGUCAGUUUUGCAGGUGGUUCUGUAGAAGCUCUUGACGUCCAAGCCCCUGAACUGAACCCAGAUUCUUGCAAGCGAAGUUUUAUUCUCAAUUGCAAUGACAAACUAUCACCAGUGUCUCUUACAGUACAUCUGCCUGCGUCUACGGCAUGUAUAUUCUCAUCCUAACUUUCUAUAUUGUCGAACUUUGUUCUGCUUUAAUAAUUGCUUGUUUUAUCUUCAACUGCUUGGGAUGGAUUUACAGAUAAAUGCUAUGUAUUGUUUGCUAAUCAUUAUGAGGUCAUAUAUAUCAUAAAAAGACUGUUG
rnacentral:lncRNA from 1 species